rnacentral:rRNA from 1 species
UACGUAGGGUGCAAGCGUUAUCCGGAAUUAUUGGGCGUAAAGGGCGCGUAGGCGGAUGGAUAAGUCAGAUGUGAAAUACCAAAGCUCAACUUUGGUGCUGCAUUUGAAACUGUUUAUCUAGAGGAUUGACGGAGAAAGCGGAAUUCCACGAGUAGCGGUGAAAUGCGUAGAUACGUGGAGGAACACCGGUGGCGAAGGCAGGUCUCUGGGCCGAUACUGACGCUGAGGAGCGAAAGCGUGGGGAGCGAACAGG